rnacentral:rRNA from 1 species
CACGUAGGGGGCAAGCGUUGUCCGGAUUUAUUGGGCGUAAAGAGCUCGUAGGUGGCUUAGUAAGUCGGGUGUGAAACCUCCAGGCUCAACCUGGAGACGCCACCCGAUACUGCUAUAGCUUGAGUCCGGUAGGGGAGCGUGGAAUUCCUGGUGUAGCGGUGAAAUGCGCAGAUAUCAGGAGGAACACCAGCGGCGAGGGCGGCGCUCUGGGCCGGUACUGACACUGAGGAGCGAAAGCGUGGGGAGCGAACAGG